AUGGUUAGAAUUCCACUCAAUCUGUGACGUACUUUUCCAAAUCAUGAGAAAGAACUGGAUACAAAAGUAGCAGGGAGAAGAGGUCAGUUCCCUCUCUCUGCUUGGGACAGGCAGUGGCUAUCACGGAGUAACAGUUCACUGGGAAAGGAAAGAGGAGGGAAGAGAUUCAGGGAUGGUCCUGUAUCAGCCUGUGCCUUGCAGGGGUUCAGCCAUGCAACCCCCACCCCGUUCCUUUGAAGUUGAACCAGUAGAGCAUUUUGUUUCAAACUACGUACGUCCUUUGUCCUUCAAAAUUUCCCGUGCUAGAACCUCUUAAAAAUCAGUUAUCUAGUUGAGAAAGUCAAACCCGGAACAGAGAGGCCAGUUCUGUAUGGGGGAAAAAAUGAAGCUGGGGACUGCCGGCCAGAAAUCACAGGUCUCCAUGACCCACCUCCAGGAGAAUGAGAUCGUGGUGUCCAGGGCAGCUGCAGAUGGGCCUAGGUCCACUUUCUGGUGACUCAAUACAAGGCAGAAUGAGAGAAAACAGCAAGAGAGCAAGAGAGAGCUGGAUGCAGUGACUUGGUCCAUGAGUCCUUGCUUUGUUUCCAGCCGUUACCACUGCUUAGUUGUGUGAUCUGGGCCGCAGUUUCCAGUCUGUAAAAUGAAGAUGGUCCUAGAUGAUUGCUAAGGGGUGUUCUAGCUCUGAUGUUUUCGAGUUCAGUAAAGGACUUCUGGCACAGUAGCAAGGAGGUAUGAAAUAGGUAUCUCCCAUCCAAGUACUAACCAGACCCAAGCCUGCUUAGUUUCUGAGAUCAGAAAAGAUUAGACACUUUUAGGCUGGUGUGGCCACAGAUUAAAACAGUUAUCCAAGGACAUUUGUAGUGUUUCCUUCCCAGGGAUAUGAAAAUCCAGGCAAGAAUCUUGAUCAUCUCAGAGAGCUUAAGAGAGGUCCUAUCUGGAGCCUGGGUCAUAAAUCAGAUGACGUCUCAGCCCUGGGAAUCUGUUGAUCUAGGAUAAAACGGAUGGGAAGCCAGCUCAGAACAAAUUCCAGGACUGAGUGAGUUAAUAGGCAUUCCUGACCUCUCCAUAGGUAGGAGUGGGGGCACCCCAAUGUGGCUGGCAGUAAAAGCAGGGAGCCCAGUGUCUUUGCCACCUGAAACUUGAUGUAGUCAGAGCUUUUGCCAGGGCUUUCCUGCCUCUACUUGUGUUAGUCAGCCUAGGCUAGGCUGCAGUAACAAACAGGCCGCCCAGAUGCAGCAGCUUCAUACCAUAUGUGUUUCGUUCUUGUUCCCCUACCAGCCUCAGACACUGACGUUCAGCUCAUUGAGCUGUGUGGAGAAGCUGUCCCACAGAAGGGAAUAAGAAAGCACAUUAUGGUGGUUCUGCCAUAUUCUAGUAUGGCUUCCAAAGUUGCUGUGGGAAUUGGUAUCCCAGUCAGCCAGAGGUGAAUAUAACAUGGUGGUGUGAGCAGAGGAGGUUUUGGCGGGCUGGUCUGGAAGUGCCUCAUCUCCUCUUACAUUCCACUGGAGAGAGCAUGGUCACAUGGCUCACCCAACUGCACAGGCAGCUGGGAAAUGUAGUCUAGCCACAUAGGCAAAGAAGGGGAGAAGGGAUUUAGGUAGACGGCUAACAAUCUCGGCCCUACCCCUUGAUAUCCGUAGGGCAGGGAAAGAAAGGGAGAAUAAAAAGAUACAUCCUUUGGUCUGUUUCCUUCUUUAUGAGGGUGUUGAAUCAAAUGAUCUCUCAAGGCCCACCUACUCUAACAUUCAGUGGUGUGAAGGGGCCAUGAAAUGUCCUUCUGCACCGAAGUGAGCAAACUGUACAGGUUCCUGCCAUAGCAGACCUGCAGCUUGAGGAAGCCUCCUCUGCUGAUUGGUCUGACUGGUAGACUCACAGAGGGGACCUUGGCUCUCUCUAAGUUCUGUUCCUCAGCUACUCUCAUUAUUUGGCCAAGUCAGGUAAUCUCUCUUGAUCUGUUUCCUUAGCUGUCCCAUGGGGAGAAAAAUCAUUUCCCUCUGCUGCCUCUUGGGGUUGGUCUGAGGAUAUGAUGAGAUCACUGCCCAGAAGGCACCAGGAGCUCUUCUGACUGAAGAGCUCUGCAUGAUGCCCUUAUUGCAGCCAGAGCCUUUUAUAACACUGCAUUCUAACCUGGCCCCAUGUGUGCCCAGUUCCUGAGGAUGGUGCCUGUGCAGGAUUUGUGGCCACGCGGGUUGGCAUUGCCAUGGCUGGAAUGCAGUGGCAAGUGCACAGCAGUAACACCCACGGACACUCGGGACUCUGGUGACCAGCGGCCCCUGAGGGGCCUGGAUUGAGCGUCACCUAGGGACAGGUAGGCUGGGCCCAGGGAUCACUGUCUCCACUGGGGCAUCUGGCCGGAUUCUCUGUUAAGUGCUUAUCACCCUAUUAAACCCUGAGAAUGUUUGCUCAUCCUCUCAUUUGCUUGUCCCCUCCCACUCGCAAUCUACGAGGUGCUUUCUGGGACGUUCUGUGCCUUACUAAUCUUUAUAUCCUCAGAAUCCAAAAUAGGACUUUCUUUUACUUAGCCAGUCAACAAAUAUUUACUGAGUGAGUACACUGUGCCCGGCACUGUGGUGGGUGCAUGGCAAGUCAGUGGCAUCGAAGAGCUUAAAGGUUUGGAGGAGACAGACAGUAAUUAAAAGAGCAUAAAUGUAAAUUUGUCACGUGUAAGUGCCUGAAGGAGACCAGUCAGGAGGGUAUGUUGAGUUUCCCUGUGGACAUGAAAUUGAGUCCUGAUCUGAAAGCUGUGUAGGCUGUUAACCAGGCAAAUCCGAGUGGGGAGAGUAUGUGCAAAGCUCCUGAGGCAGGAGGAAGUGGGAUACAUGGAAAGGACUGGAAGAAAGCCAGUGUGGCUGAGACAGAGCGUAAGGAAGACCACGCAAGGAGGCAAGCCUGGAGACUUUGAAAGGAACUAAGUCAGGGAGACUUAACAGCUCAUUUUAAGGAUUUCUUCUUUUUUAAGAGUUUAAGGACGUCAUUAUAAAGAAGUAGAGAAGGUACAGUAUGGUGAAGGUGGAGGUGGAGGAGGAGUUAAGGGGUGAGGUGCGCCAUGAUUUGGGAUUGGAAAUCAUCAUUCUAACUAUGAUAAGAGAAACAAUUUUGAAAGAAACAAGAACUGAUGCUUGGACUCUCAGAGUCCAAGUGGGAAGUUGAUCACUCCUGGACAAGGGUAAUAGAAGUAAAUUCAGAGAAUGUGGAUUUGAGAGACUGUAGGUGGUAAAAUCCACCAGACAUAUUGAUGGACAUGGAGGAUGAGGGAGAGAGUGUGGCAAGAUAGCUCAGGUUUCUGGUAUCCAUGAUUGGAUGGAUGGUGUACCAUUUACAAGGAGAGGGAACAGUGGACAAGAACUGUUUGGAUCUACAGACUUGGAGCUGUAGAUUCAAGGCGGUCCAAGUUUAAGGUUUGGAGUCUGAGGGGUGCAAGGGGAUGCGAUUAUCUAGGGAAGAGAGUAUCGUGGUCAGAGAAGACAGGCUGAAAAUGAGUCCUGAUGAACACAAUAUGAAAUGACUAAGAGAGAAGGCUGAGCCAGAAAAAAGACUGGAAAGGAGCCACUGAGAGAUAGGAGAAAACCCAGAAGGUUAUAUCACCCCAGCAAAGGGAAGGAGAUCCUGGUUCACAGUGUGCAAUGCUGCCGAAAGGUCAAGUGAGGUGAAGACUGAAAAUAGCCCUUCGUUUUAGCAACAUUGAAAUCACUGGUGAUCAUAAGAGAAGUGACUUCAGCGGAGUGUUCAGAGCAGUGUCCACAUGGAGAACACUGGAAGGAGUGUGAGCUGAGGAAGCUGAGCAGCUGGAAAUCACUUUUCAAUAGAGUUUGACUCUGAAGAGGGAGAGUGAGCUCGGACGGCAACUAGAGAGGAAAGAGUAGAGGGGAGUUCUUGUUUUUAGGGGAACAUUUGGAUGUGGAAAUGGUCUGUAUGGAGGGGAAAAGUCAAAGGCCUAAGAAAGAUGGUGGACAGGAUAAGGUUUCUGAGAAGCAGGAGGGGACAGGAUCCCGGGCCCACGUGGACGGACUGGCCUGGAGGCGAGGAAGAGGAGAGGGUGGUGCACUGCAGGCCCUGGACUUCCCUCUGAGGACUUCAGUUUUCUUGGUAAAGUAGGGGACUUGACUUGUAAAAGAGGCUACUUGCUGUGAGUGGAGGGAAUGGAGCGGCCUGAGGGAUUUGAAAUGUUGAGAAACACCAAUGUAUUCUUUUCCGAAAGCUGCUGUAACAAAGUCCCACAAACUGAGUGCCUGAAACAACAGACGUGUAUCCUCUCACUGUGUGGAGGCUGGAAUUCUGAAAUCCAGAUGUCAGGGGCACUGUGCUCCCUCUGAAGCCUCCAGGAGAGAGCUUGUCCUUGCCUCUUCCUAGCUUUGGCGGUGGUUGGCAAUGCUUGUUGUUCCUUGGCUUGUCACCCCUGCCGCCAUGAUCACAUGGUCUUCGUCCUACUGUGUGUGUCUGUCUUCACAUGGUUUUCUUAGAAACAUGCUGUUAUUGGAUUUACGAUCCCCUAUAAUCCAGUCUGAUCUUUUUUAUUCACAUCUACAAAGGUGCGAUUUUCAAAUAAUGUUACAUUCACAGAUACCAGAGGUUAGGCUUGAACAUAUGUUUUGGGGACACAGCAUUCUAUCCACUAUCAUUAAGACAUUUAGAAACAGUCGUAGAGAGGGAGAGAACUGUCCCAGGAUGCCCAACCCUGUCACAGGCUGGCGGGGACUGGUGAAGGUAAACCAACAGUGAGAGUAUGCUUCAGCAUCAGCUGCUCUCCCACUUGCUCCUCUCUGCUGACCAGCAUCCUUGGGUAGAGCUGGGGCACCCCAGCCCUCUCCCACUGCAGGGCAGAUUUCCCUCCCACAAGAACAGAGUCUUCUGACCUCUCUUGACUCCUCCUCCCUUCCAGCUUCAGUCUCUGUCUCUGCCUCCCAUUCAGUCCCUUUCUCUGCCCCAAGGUACAUGAAGGACUCUUGCAGACAGGAGCUGCAGAGCUGGCCCCACAGCACCGGAGCUGUCAUUGAAGAGCAGAAUUCCAGCCUUCCAUGGCACAUGUGCUACCUCUGCACUAUUUUGUUCAGAGCUCCAAGAAGCAGGUGCCUUGGGAUUUUCACCAAAGAACAGAAGGAAUAAACCCAUCGCUGUUUUUUUAACCUCCCCCUGCAGAAGAAGCCUUAUUCUCCCCUUUCUGGAAUGUCAGAAACAGUGUCAUUUUGUCCAGGCUGAGUUGUCCUCUUUGCUGGACCCCAGGCCUAGGGCACCCUUGGUGCUUCUCCACCCACCAGUGCUGAGUUCCGGGGCUGUUUGCCCUGCAGGUCCAAGGCUAGAAUAUAAACACCACAAUCCCUCUGGAAACUGGCUGGGACCUCCUCCAGGGAGGAAGGGUUGCUCAUGGGCUGGCCAGCCUCCCAAGCAUCAUGUACAGCAACCCGAAGCUCCACGUUACACAGCUCAGGGCAGGUCCUUAAAUGACCUUCUGCUUCUUGUCUGCCCAUCUGAGAGAACCAUUCCAUUCCAAACAACAUUCCUUCGAUAAAAUCGGUUACACACUGUAAACGUCAGUGAGCCAGGAACAUUCUCCAGUGCAACAGGAUUCUGAUAAAGCAAUCCUAUUUUGCAAAACCUUCCAGAGUGAAACAUCCUCCUCACAGCAGGCGGGGAAAUUCCUGGGAUGCCACGACAUUGGGCAAAGUGUCCAAGGCCCCAGGGAAGGAGCAGAAAGUCUGGAGGUGGAGCUCCCAUUGUGGGCAAAGGGACUUGGGUUUUCAGUCAUCUGUUCAUCAAUCACUCACUUGACAAAUAUUUGCUGAACACAUCCCAUGUGCCAGGCUCUGAUGGAGUCACUAGAAACACAGUGUUUCCACAUGACUGCAAAACUCCCCCGAUGUUCAAAGAGCAGCGACGAUUUCCUCUCCUCACACAGUCCAGGUUAACAAUUGGGUGUAACGUCCACAUGCCUCUCCACCUCACUCGCUCUGUGAGUCUGGAUGUGUUCUUCCAUGAGUGGGCCCUCAUUCUGUUGGCUUUUCUGUUGUCGCUCUCCAUUUGCAGAUGCCUCCUCUUGAGGCUGUUUCUGGGUCUCUCAAUCUCUAUUCUUCAAGUAUCCCUUUGUGUCACAGAGUGCCUCCCAGCCAUUCCUCUGCCUCUCCAUCAGUCUGCCUUUCUUCCAAUCAAUUCAUCUCCAAAUUUUUUUCUCCUUCCUUCUUCUGUUUCUUCUCCUUAACUGAUUGUUGACACAGAAUUAAAUACAUUUUUUUCCCUUAGGUUUGUGGAAUAUACUUUCACAU